rnacentral:rRNA from 1 species
CAGCCGCCGCGGGAAUACGAAGGGUGCAAGCGUUAAUCGGAAUUACUGGGCGUAAAGCGUGCGUAGGCGGUGAGUUAAGUCUGCUGUGAAAUCCUCGGGCUCAACCUGGGAAUGGCAGUGGAUACUGGCUCGCUAGAGUGUGUCAGAGGAUGGUGGGAUUCCCGGUGUAGCGGUGAAAUGCGUAGAGAUCGGGAGGAACAUCAGUGGCGAAGGCGGCCAUCUGGGACAACACUGACGCUGAGGCACGAAAGCGUGGGGAGCAAACAGGAUUAGAUACCCCAGUAGUCCCUGUCUCUUAUAA